UGGUGGCGAUGGCGGAGGGGUUCCACGCGUACCCAUCCCGAACACGACCGUUAAGCCCUCCAGCGCCGAUGGUACUUGGACCGAAGGGUCCUGGGAGAGUAGGACGCUGCCA
rnacentral:rRNA from 1 species